rnacentral:ncRNA from 1 species
ACCGGGGAGCUUGUACAACAGGCUGAGAGGAAGCUGGGAGCUUCGACCCGUGACCUGAUGUGGGUAAUGCCAACGUAGGGAGCCGUC